UGAUGAUUUUGGUUGCUCUGAGAAUGUGAUGAGCCCUAUGAGUUCUGAGG
rnacentral:misc_RNA from 1 species